UGGCUGGCUGUCUCUCUGUAUGGCUGGCUGUCUCUUUGUGUGGCUGGCUGGCUGGCUGUCUCUCUGUAUGGCUGGCUGUCUCUGGCUGGCUGUCUCUCUGUAUGGCUGGCUGUCUCUCUGUGUGGCUGGCUGGCUGUCUCUUUGUGUGGCUGGCUGGCUGGCUGUCUCUCUGUAUGUAUGGCUGGCUGUCUCUUUGUGUGGCUGGCUGUCUCUUUGUGUGGCUGGCUGGCUGUCUCUCUGUAUGGCUGGCUGUCUCUUUGUGUGGCUGGCUGUCUCUCUGUGUGGCUGACUGUCUCUUUGUGUGGCUGGCUGUCUCACCUUUCUCUCCAUUGAUGUCUCCUGGUUCUGUCUGCUCCAGAUGCAUUGCACAUGCGCAGAGCUAGGGAGCGUCUUACAAUACCUUCCCCGGGAAAGUCAGGGAACGUCACACAAUAAUCCUCAAAGGUUGUAGAAAAG